AUUGAACGCUGGCGGCAUGCCUUACACAUGCAAGUCGAACGGUAACAGGUCUUCGGAUGCUGACGAGUGGCGAACGGGUGAGUAAUACAUCGGAACGUGCCCGAUCGUGGGGGAUAGCUCGGCGAAAGCCGGAUUAAUACCGCAUACGAUCUACGGAUGAAAGCAGGGGACCGCAAGGCCUUGCGCGAACGGAGCGGCCGAUGGCAGAUUAGGUAGUUGGUGGGGUAAAGGCUCACCAAGCCGACGAUCUGUAGCUGGUCUGAGAGGACGACCAGCCACACUGGGACUGAGACACGGCCCAGACUCCUACGGGAGGCAGCAGUGGGGAAUUUUGGACAAUGGGCGCAAGCCUGAUCCAGCAAUGCCGCGUGCAGGAUGAAGGCCUCGGGUUGUAAACUGCUUUUUGUACGGAACGAAAAGGCUCUGGUUAAUACCUGGGGCUCAUGACGGUACCGUAAGAAUAAGCACCGGCUAACUACGUGCCAGCAGCCGCGGUAAUACGUAGGGUGCGAGCGUUAAUCGGAAUUACUGGGCGUAAAGCGUGCGCAGGCGGUGAUGUAAGACAGUUGUGAAAUCCCCGGGCUCAACCUGGGAACUGCAUCUGUGACUGCAUCGCUGGAGUGCGGCAGAGGGGGAUGGAAUUCCGCGUGUAGCAGUGAAAUGCGUAGAUAUGCGGAGGAACACCGAUGGCGAAGGCAAUCCCCUGGGCUGCACUGACGCUCAUGCA
rnacentral:rRNA from 1 species